UAACAGAUGAGCGUAGAUGAGCAGUGUCAGGAAGAGACCACGCAUGUGACUGGAGCUGCGUGACAAGUUGCCAUGUUGUGAAAUCCCAACAUUCCCACAACCCUUUCGCUUUCCGGAGGAGCGGCGGGGGCCAGAGGUUGGAGGAGGACCUGUCUGAAGCGUCACUACCUCCAUUCCUCAUGGCUACAUCUGCCAGAGCCUCCUCCCACCUGUCUGAUGCUGCUUAGAUUUAUGUGGCUGUAUAGGAAGGAGGCCAAUCCAGUGUGCCAGGCCACGUGUAGGCUUCCCUUUACGCUGACAGUUGUGUGUAUGAUACUGUAGCCGGCUCCCAGUGAGGCUCAGCCCACUAUAUCUGAAAUCUGUCAUAAGUGAAAGCUUGAAAAGGUUAGGACAGUUCAGGGAAGAUAAAUGGUGAAUUGGGAGGACAGCUCCUUCUCCCACUACGCACAGAUGCAGAGUUCCUCCCCGUACGCGCUACACAACAGGCGGGCCGGACCGUGCAAGUUUCUACCGAGCAGGCCGUUCACGUGAGCCACUCUAUUACUCUCAUCAAAACAAAUUAUAACGGAUGGUUAUUGGGUUUUCACAAUGUCUUUUGUAUAAUAAAGCUCGUUAACUGCAUUGGGCAAAACAAAUGGGCAGAAUAAUCCGUAUGGUUAUUGACAUUGUGUCAUUUCCAGUUAGCGCAGGAAGAGGACUCUCACUGUGGCUCCGGGCUUCGCCUUCCAUCUCUCAAGAGGAAGAGCACUAAUG
ensembl:lncRNA